rnacentral:rRNA from 1 species
GGCUUGUUGAGUAUAAUUUCAAGUCUGACCUGCCCUAUGAGUUAUUAAAUGGCCGCGGUAUAUUGACCGUGCAAAGGUAGCAUAAUCACUAGUUUUUUAAUUGAAAGCUUGAAUGAAAGGUUUAAUGAGAAAACGACUGUCUCAGGAAAGAUUAAUUAGAAUUUUAUUUUUAAGUUAAAAAGCUUAAAUAAUUAUAGAAGACGAGAAGACCCUAUAGAGUUUUAUAUUUUUAGUUAGAAUUAGGUUAUAGGUCUAAGAAAUCUAUUUUUAGGUAAAAAUAUUUUGUUGGGGUGAUGGAAAAAUUAAAUAAACUUUUUUUUAAUGUGAACAUUGAUUUAUGGAUAUUUGAUCCUUUAAGUAAGAUUAGAAGAUUAAACUACCUUAGGGAUAACAGCGUAAUUUUUUUUAGAGUUCCUAUCGAAAAUAAAGUUUGCGACCUCGAUGUUGGAUUAAAGUUGAUUAGUGGUGUAGAAGCUACUAGAUUAAGUCUGUUCGACUUUUAAAACUUUACAUGAUCUGAGUUUAAACCGGCGUGAG